rnacentral:rRNA from 1 species
AGUGAACGCUGGCGGCAGGCCUAAUACAUGCCAGUCGAACGGCAGCACAGUGGCGCUUGCUCCAUGGGUGGCGAGUGGCGGACGGGUGAGGAAUACAUGGGAAUCUGCCCAGUCGUGGGGGAUAACGUAGGGAAACUUACGCUAAUACCGCAUGCGCCCUUCGGGGGAAAGCCGGGGACCUUCGGGCCUGGCGCGAUUGGAUGAGCCCAUGUUCGAUUAGCUAGUUGGCGGGGUAAAGGCCCACCAAGGCGACGAUCGAUAGCUGGUCUGAGAGGAUGAUCAGCCACACUGGGACUGAGACACGGCCCAGACUCCUACGGGAGGCAGCAGUAGGGAAUAUUGGACAAUGGGCGCAAGCCUGAUCCAGCCAUGCCGCGUGAGUGAAGAAGGCCCUCGGGUUGUAAAGCUCUUUUGUCCGGGAAGAAAAGCAUCGGGCUAAUACCUCGGUGUUCUGACGGUACCGGAAGAAUAAGCACCGGCUAACUUCGUG